rnacentral:rRNA from 1 species
CAGCGAGGCAUGUGGUUUAAUUCGAGGCUACACGAAGAACCUUACCUGGGCUUGACAUGUUGCUGAAAGAUCUAAGAAACUAGAUCCUUUUUCAUAGCAAUAUGAAACAGUUUCACAGGUGGUGCAUGGUUGUCGUCAGCUCGUGCCGUGAGGUGUAAGGUUAAGUCCUUGAACGAGCGCAACCCACGUCGUUAUUUGCCACGGAGCAAUCCAGCUACUAUAACGAUACCGCCGGCGACGAGCCGGAGGAAGGCGUGGACGACGUCAAAUCAUCACGCCCCUUAUGUCCAGGGCUACACACAUGCGACAAUGGUCGGAACAAUGAGUUGCCAAGCAGUAAUGCGGAGCUAAUCUCCAAAGCCGGCCUCAGUACAGAUCGAGGGUUGCAACCCACCCUCGUGAAGAUGGAGUUGCUAGUAAACGCAAGUCAGCUAUAUUGCGUUGAAUACGUUCCCGGGUAUU